AUGCAAGUGAAGAGAUGGUCCAGGGUGAAGAUAAAAAAUAAGAGAAGUGGGGCCAGCCUUAAUGGCCUAGUGGUUAAGUUCAGUGUGCUAUGUUUUGGUGUCCUAGGUUUGGUUCCCAGGCGUGGACCUAUACAACUCGUCGCCCAUGCUGUCGCAGCAACCCACAUACAAAAUAGAGGAAGAUUGGCAGCAGAUGUUAGCUCAGGACGAAUCUUCCUCAGCAAAAAAAUAAAAAUAAAAAUAAAUAAGAGAAGUGGACAGAACCUUGGAGAAUGCCAACAUUUUAGGGGUGAGCAGAGUGAGAGAAGAAAGAGGGCAACUGCAAAGAGCAGAUGUCAAGAGGCUGUGGAAUCAACGUGUCUUGAGAAAGCGGAGAUGGAGACUUUGACCACUUCUUUUCAAUUAGUUCGCUUCACCAUCUGGAUCACCAUUGGAGCGCUGAGAAGCCAGAAGGAGAGGUGGCCUCCAGAUGUCUCUAGGGAGCCAACCAGGUUUCCGACAUUUAAGCUCUGCCCCCGUAGAUUUCUUGCAGCACAAGGGUAA
rnacentral:lncRNA from 1 species